UACGUAGGUGGCGAGCGUUGUCCGGAAUCAUUGGGCGUAAAGAGCGCGUAGGUGGCUUGUCAGGUCCGAUGUGAAAACCUGGGGCUCAACUCCAGGCCUGCAUCGGAAACCGGCUUGCUAGAGUCUGGGAGAGGAGAGUGGAAUUCCUGGUGUAGCGGUGAAAUGCGUAGAUAUCAGGAGGAACACCGGUAGCGAAGGCGGCUCUCUGGAACAGUACUGACGCUGAGGCGCGAAAGCUAGGGGAGCGAACAGGAUUAGAUACCCUGGUAGUCCUAGCCGUAAACGAUGGACACUAGGUGUCGGGGGUGUCGACUCCCUCGGUGCCGAAGCUAACGCAUUAAGUGUCCCGCCUGGGGAGUACGGCCGCAAGGCUAAA
rnacentral:rRNA from 1 species